UGCGAUCCUGACAAAGAAGAAGCGACUCAAUCGGGUCAGAUUAAGAAUCAGCCGAUUUUGAUUUUGGUGUCGGAGACGAAGGAGUACGGCGGCACGGCCAGAUUGGUCGGCGCGGGCCCCUGACGGAUACGGCCCGACGAGUCGUACUGCGAGCCGUGGCACGGACAGAAGAAGCCGUCGUAGUUGCCUUCAUGGGCGAUCGGGAUACAGCCGAGAUGCGUGCAGAUGCCGAUCACGACGAGCCACUGGUCGUGGCCUUCCUUGACGCGCGACUGGUCGCUCUGCGGAUCGGGCAGGCUCGCGGUCGGAACGGCGCGCGCCUCGUCGAUCUGCUUCUUGGUGCGGUUCAUGAUGUAGAUCGGCUUGCCGCGCCAGAACACCUUGAUGUCCUGUCCCGUCGCGAUCGGC
rnacentral:misc_RNA from 1 species